rnacentral:rRNA from 1 species
UACAGAGGUCUCAAGCGUUGUUCGGAUUCAUUGGGCGUAAAGGGUGUGUAGGUGGCGCGCUAAGUCGGGUGUGAAAUUUCGGAGCCUAACUCCGAAACUGCAUUCGAUACUGGCGUGCUUGAGGACUGGAGAGGAGACUGGAAUUCAUGGUGUAGCAGUGAAAUGCGUAGAGAUCAUGAGGAAGACCAGUGGCGAAGGCGGGUCUCUGGACAGUUCCUGACACUGAGGCACGAAGGCCAGGGGAGCAAACGGG